rnacentral:rRNA from 1 species
UACGUAGGGGGCAAGCGUUGUCCGGAUUUAUUGGGCGUAAAGAGCGUGUAGGCGGCUAGAUAGGUCCGUUGUGAAAACUCGAGCUCAACCUCGAGACGCCGGUGGAAACCAUCUAGCUAGAGUCCGGAAGAGGAGAGUGGAAUUCCUGGUGUAGCGGUGAAAUGCGCAGAUAUCAGGAAGAACACCCGUGGCGAAGGCGGUUCUCUGGGCCUUACCUGACACUGAGGAGCGAAAGCGUGGGGAGCGAACAGG